rnacentral:rRNA from 1 species
GGAGGGUGCGAGCGUUAAUCGGAAUUACUGGGCGUAAAGCGCGCGUAGGUGGUUUGAUAAGCUAGCUGUGAAAGCCCCGGGCUCAACCUGGGAACUGCAGUUAGAACUGUCUGACUAGAGUACAGUAGAGGGUGGCGGAAUUUCCUGUGUAGCGGUGAAAUGCGUAGAUAUAGGAAGGAACAUCAGUGGC